rnacentral:rRNA from 1 species
CUAUACAUGCAAGUCGAGCGGAACUAAGGAGCUUGCUCCUUAGUUUAGCGGCGGACGGGUGAGUAACACGUGGGCAACCUGCCCUACAGAUGGGGAUAACUCCGGGAAACCGGGGCUAAUACCGAAUAAUCAGUUUGUCCGCAUGGACGAACUCUGAAAGACGGUUUCGGCUGUCACUGUAGGAUGGGCCCGCGGCGCAUUAGCUAGUUGGUGGGGUAAUGGCCUACCAAGGCAACGAUGCGUAGCCGACCUGAGAGGGUGAUCGGCCACACUGGGACUGAGACACGGCCCAGACUCCUACGGGAGGCAGCAGUAGGGAAUCUUCCACAAUGGACGAAAGUCUGAUGGAGCAACGCCGCGUGAGCGAAGAAGGUUUUCGGAUCGUAAAGCUCUGUUGUCAGGGAAGAACAAGUACGGGAGUAACUGUCCGUACCAUGACGGUACCUUAUUAGAAAGUCACGGU